AUUGAACGCUGGCGGCAGGCCUAACACAUGCAAGUCGAGCGGAUGAAGGGAGCUUGCUCCUGGAUUCAGCGGCGGACGGGUGAGUAAUGCCUAGGAAUCUGCCUGGUAGUGGGGGAUAACGUCCGGAAACGGGCGCUAAUACCGCAUACGUCCUGAGGGAGAAAGUGGGGGAUCUUCGGACCUCACGCUAUCAGAUGAGCCUAGGUCGGAUUAGCUAGUUGGUGGGGUAAAGGCCUACCAAGGCGACGAUCCGUAACUGGUCUGAGAGGAUGAUCAGUCACACUGGAACUGAGACACGGUCCAGACUCCUACGGGAGGCAGCAGUGGGGAAUAUUGGACAAUGGGCGAAAGCCUGAUCCAGCCAUGCCGCGUGUGUGAGGAAGGUCUUCGGAUUGAAAAGCACUUUAAGUUGGGAGGAAGGGCAGUAAGUUAAUACCUUGCUGUUUUGACGUUACCAACAGAAUAACCACCGGCUAACUUCGUG
rnacentral:rRNA from 1 species